AGCUCUGACCACAUCACCGGUGUGAAAUUGUUGAUUAACCUUUUGACUCUGACAAUUGGGUCUUCUCUCAACACCAACUGGUAAUGCAAAAGACCAUUAGUAGUUAAUAUUGGGACAUCCCAGCUCCAGAUGUCAAAAGGUUAAUGAAAAAGCAAGUAUCUUACUUUUACUGGGCAGCUUGGAAACCUUCCCCCCCAAACAUUGCAUUUUUGGUGAUAAAUAAGCCAGGCUGCUUGAGCUGAGAAAGAUGGUGUUUUGCUAAUGCGUACAGCUGUUAAUUGAAAAAGAUUUUGUUAUGCUUGUUCUUCUGGAUGUAGAUAAAAGAGAGAUUUGUUGGCAAACUUUAGUUGGUCUUGAACACCCCUUUGUCCAAAUACACUACUUAAUAAUAACGCUUUGUUCUUUCUCUAACAGCCGUGGAGGGAUUUUGAGAGGAAUACUCGUUUUCUUUAAGACCUAUCUGCCAGUAAUCAUUCCUGGCUUAAGACCAGCUGCCAUUUAUGUGUUUUAUGAAAAUAUAACACCAGUUUUACACUCAAAACUAUUCUCUUUUAGGUAAAAGCUUCAGCACAAGCCAGUUCCCAAUAUCUGCCAUAAAUGCUAUUUAUCACAGAUUUUGGUCUUUAAAACAGAAAGAUAAUGUUAAAGCAUUUUGAUUACCCUUUCCUUACCGCUAUCAUUCACAAACCAUCUUUUCUAAUUAUGGUAUUAGGACAUUUACAUAACUGGGAAAAGGGUCCUUUAACUACAUUUCUAUUAUGGUUGGCACUUGUGUGAAAGGAUAUUAUAUUCAUGUGCAUUAGAGAUUGCUUAUAAAAGAUCAAGACAAUAAUAGCAGAUCAGACGAUAAAGGUUGCCUUUUCUCCUCCCAGACAGGCUGUCUCUGACAGAAGAAUACAGUUCAUCAAAAGUGUCUGCAGGUUGUCAAACUCGUUCUUUUUAGAGCACUGUGCAAAGAGACAAAGAGAAAUUCACCACUCAACGCGUAAGCAUAUCUGCCAUUAAUGCUGAGGGUAGUUAAGUGGCUGCUCCUGCAGAAGAAUAUACCCCAGUGUUCAAGACCGAAAGUUGUAGAGGUUGGAACCUGAUUUAUCCAGAAGCUGGGGAGGACCUUAACUGUCUCCAACAGUUCUGAAAAACAGCAAAAGCAGCACAGCUUUCCUUUAACAAAAGUGGUACAUUCAGGGAGAAGAUGCUUGAAUCAGAGAGCUGGAGAAGCAGGUGGAUGUUGUGCUGCUGCUUUGGAGAGAGCAGUUUGCCUGAAGGACAAAGGAAAGUCCCACCUAGCAGUGUCCACAUUCCCUUCUGGAUGCAGAAAGCUGAUGCUCAGACUUUAUGUCUUUAUGCUGGAGUUAGAACUGCAACACAAUGUCCAAAGGUUUCUAAGUCAACGUCCAGGUGUUACCCAUGAUGAGAUGCCUACCCAUCUUGGCAGACAAUUGUUCAGCCUGAAGGAGCUUUAAAUUACUUCACAGCUUGAAAUCCCAGCUUUACCUCAUCCUCCUCUGUGAAGCCAAAUGUGGCAUUGGAAGUCAUGUUUUUGAGAUUAUCUGGUCAGAAUGUCUUCACCAAGAAGUCUGUUUUCACUGUUUCACACAACUUGAGAUUUGAUGUUCCCUGCACAAGUGCAUGAAGAGAAUUGGUUUAGACUAGUUCAGUGAAAAUGAGCUGUUUGUCAAUGGACUCUCAUGCAUGGGGGGUCUGAGAAUUAUAAGUGCAAAGCUUUACCCCUCCUGGACAAUGGUCUUUGAGACAAGGCAAAGAGGACACAGAAGGGGUUCCUACCACUGCACAACUAGGAGGUGAGUACCCUGGACUCAACUGUAAAGGGGAAGAAUGAAUGAGAUUGCCAGACAUGCUGAGUUAAUAGUGAUUUGAGAAAAGCAUGACCACCAGCUACCUUUCUGCUUUCCAAAACCUGGAGCAGUGAGAAAUCAAAACCUAGUUUGGGUCAGCCUACAGGUACAGAGUGUGAUUCACCUCCCAUGAACUGGGGACGGGAAGCGGAGGAAAGAGUGCUGCAGAGCUGCUGACUCUCUGCUCUCCGAAGACUUCCUGUUAAGGGGAAUCCUCAGUUGUCCAUUUAGGGUAGUAUUAUAGCUGCACUGAGCUGCUGAGGCAUGCAAAGAAGCUGCAGAUGGGACUGAGAGUACAGCUUGAUACUUUACUGUUGAGCCUCUCAGUGACACCGUUACCAAAUGCCUGCUAGAGGUGCGUACUGAGUGCUAAAGGCAAAGCAGGGGGUCUGGUUUUAAUAAAAAGGUAGUUUACA